rnacentral:rRNA from 1 species
GAUGAACGCUAGCGGCAGGAUUAAUACAUGCAAGUCGAGGGACAGCACAGGUAGCAAUACUGGGUGGUAACCGGCAAACGGGUGCGGAACACGUACACAACCUUCCUUUAAGUGGGGGAUAGCCCAGAGAAAUUUGGAUUAAUACCCCGUAAUAUAGUUGAAUGGCAUCAUUUGAUUAUUAUAGCUACGGCGCUUAAUGAUGGGUGUGCGGCUGAUUAGAUAGUUGGCGGGGUAACGGCCCACCAAGUCUACGAUCGGUAGCUGAUGUGAGAGCAUGAUCAGCCACACGGGCACUGAGACACGGGCCCGACUCCUACGGGAGGCAGCAGUAAGGAAUAUUGGUCAAUGGACGCAAGUCUGAACCAGCCAUGCCGCGUGAAGGAUUAAGGUCCUCUGGAUUGUAAACUUCUUUUAUUUGGGACGAAAAAGGGCCUUUCUAGGUCAACUGACGGUACCAGAUGAAUAAGCACCGGCUAACUCCGUGCCAGCCGCCGCAGUAACAC